UUAGUGGCGGACGGGUGAGUAACGCGUGAAUAACCUGCCCUGUACCGGGGGACGAACAGUUGGAAACGGCUGCUAAUAACCGCAUAAGCGCACGGUUCCGCAUGGGACAGUGUGAAAAACUCCGGUGGUACAGGAUGGAUUCGCGUCUGAUUAGCCAGUUGGCGGGGUAACGGCCCACCAAAGCGACGAUCAGUGGCCGGCCUGAGAGGGUGAACGGCCACAUUGGGACUGAGACACGGCCCAAACUCCUACGGGAGGCAGCAUG
rnacentral:rRNA from 1 species